UUUAAGACAUUUCAAUUUAUUCUCUUCUGAAUCAACAUUUAACAUCCUGAGGAGAAGAUUUUCGAUCGAGGAUCGAUCAGUCUAUUUGAGAAAACUCCAUAUGUAUUUGCCCCCCCCAAAAAAAAAAGAAAUAUUUUUAAGUACAAUAAACAAGAAAAUACUAGUUAUUACACCCACAAUAAUCUUGUAAUCCACGAAAAACAUGAAACGAUUAAAUUCUUCAAAUGGCAGUAACGUGAUUAUAUAGAAUAACUUUGUGGAGCUCUCUAGAGGAGAGACGGAGAGAAUGUCAAGAACAAGGAACGAUAUAUCAAAUAUGAUAUAAGAACUAUUUUGGCUAAAAUUCUUGUGGAGCUGCUUGAAAAAUGCAAAAAGCCAUCAAAUAAAUAUAACUGUAAAUUGUCGUGUUUUUCUUAUUUGUUUCAAAAAUUUCUUUCAUAAUUGAUAGCAACGGCAGAUAAAGAUGAAAGACGGUGAGAUGAGAUGAGUGAGGUUCAGUCAACACAACAUCAUCAGCGGCGGGGACCUCACUCAACCAUUAUAGGCAAACAAGUGCAGCAGUCGCGGCUCCACAAACACUCCGCAAUCAUAAAAAAACUCAAAUUAUUUGCACACCAUUUUUCUUCCUUUCUUUCUUUUUUCUCACUAGACAAAAUAAUCAAAUAUCUUUUGAAUUGAUUGAAUAUGCUGUUAAAAUUUGAUUGAUGUAACUACGGGGUUGUUAGAACGUCUACAAGUAAUAUCGAUCGUAAUUUUUUUUAUUAUUGGUAGUAAUUUUAUUAUAGACUUCUUAAUGUUGUAUAGCACGUGUAAAUUAAUAUGCAAGUUGUAAAUACAAUGAUAAAAUUAAUUAUUUGAAAUAAUGAAGGAUUUUAACAUAAACAUGUCCUAUAAUAAAAAACUUACAGAAUUGUAGAUAUUUAACGACUCUUUUUAUUUUUUCUUUAGCACAAACGUUCUUAUAUUUUAAAAUAUAGAUUUGACCUACAUUACACAUCAUUAUUUUUAUUAGAACGUCUACAAGUAAUAUCGAUCGUAAUUUUUUUUUUUUGUUAUUGGUAGUAAUUUUAUUAUUAGGCUUCUCAAUGUUGUCUAGCACGUGUAAAUUAAUAUGCAAGUUGUAAAUACAAUGAUAAAAUUAAUUAGUUGAAAUAAUGACGGAUUUUAACAUAAACAUGUCCUAUAAUAAAAUACGUAUAGAAUUGUAGAUAUUUAACGACUUUUUUUGUUUUUUCCUUAGCACAAACGUUCUUACAUUUUAAAACAUAGAUUUGACCUACAUUACACAUCAUUAUUUACCACCUUGACAUUGUUGGUUAGCAGCUAAACGCUGUUAUUUAGUGCCUAUAGAUUAUAUGAUUUAGUCGCUAAUUAGUACCAUCUUUUCUUGUUUUAACACCUUUACAAUAUUGUUUAAUCGGUCAAGAAUUAGCACAUAUUCACCCUAUGUUAAGAUAUAAAUAAAAGUAAAAACGUCCGCAGCUAAGAAUUGUUAAAUACACGAUUAAUCAGAAGAUAGCAUAAAUUAAUUAGCUAAUUAACUUGUAGCAUCAACCAAAAAGACAACCAUCACAUUAAAAGUUUCACCAGUACCACUCCUUUUAAAUCUCUUGGGAGUAAUAAUUUUCUCUCAUUGAACCUAUUUUCUAGCUCACUAGAUGAGUCAGUAGCAGUAUAAUAACUAAUAAGGUACUUGACUAGCUUACAGAAUCUGUAAGCUACAGACUGCAGCAUCAGCCGUUGGAUGUGGAGUGAGAAACUAAACAAUAGAAAAUCGGAUGGUGGUACUAAUAAGCCUCGAGUACAGGAAAAACACUGUGGGAAGAAGAAGCAAAUGGAAGUUGACACGUAGAGUUUAAAACAAGGAGCCAAAAUAUGAAUAAUAAAAUAAAAUCAAAUAAAAGAUUUUGAUGUGAAGGAUGGAAUCUAGUGCAGAAGCUUUUGCUUCCUCAGUCUUCUCAUCCUAACAUGGAAAAUGAUAAAUAAAAUAAAAUAAUGAUCAAUUAAAAGCAAAUAACCACAAUGGGAGGCUUUUAACAGUCUCGUGUGUAGAUUCUUGUGUUUGUGCUUUAGCAACCUAAAAAUUGAGGAUAAGUCUGAAAAAUGUUAGGGUUUUGGCUCGUCGUGAUGCGUGUUAAAAUAAAUUUUCUACGCUUCCAUUAAAAACAGCAUAAUAACACGUGAGCCCCUUGUUUGAUACAUUUUCUUACUAAGAACAUGAUUUGACUAUUUUGUAUCAAAUAAGUCUCUGACUUAUUAAAACAAUCAAUUACCCUGAUAAUAUUGCAUGUUUAUUGUCAAAAUAUAAAAGGAAUCUAUGGAAAUUACCACUAAAAUGUAUUUGAUUUAUUAUAAAGGUAAUUUGGUUAUUUUAUUAUUUAUUAUAACCUAAUUUUAGUCUAAGAUUUAUCAUUGUAUAUAUACUC
rnacentral:lncRNA from 1 species